GACGAACGCUGGCGGCGCGCCUAACACAUGCAAGUCGAACGGACGAGAAGGAGCUUGCUCCUUCAAGUUAGUGGCGGACGGGUGAGUAACACGUGAGCAACCUGCCUUUCAGAGGGGGACAACAGUUGGAAACGACUGCUAAUACCGCAUAACGUUGCGAUGGGGCAUCCCAAUGCAACCAAAGAUUUAUCGCUGAAAGAUGGGCUCGCGUCUGAUUAGAUAGUUGGUGGGGUAAUGGCCUACCAAGUCGACGAUCAGUAGCCGGACUGAGAGGUUGAACGGCCACAUUGGGACUGAGAUACGGCCCAGACUCCUACGGGAGGCAGCAGUGGGGAAUAUUGGGCAAUGGGGGAAACCCUGACCCAGCAACGCCGCGUGAAGGAAGAAGGCUUUCGGGUUGUAAACUUCUUUUACCAGGGACGAAGGACGUGACGGUACCUGGNGAAAAAGCCACGGCUAACUACGUG
rnacentral:rRNA from 1 species